rnacentral:rRNA from 1 species
UACGUAGGGGGCUAGCGUUGUCCGGAUUUAUUGGGCGUAAAGAGCGUGUAGGCGGCCAGGUAGGUCUGGUGUGAAAACUCGAGGCUUAACCUCGAGAUGUCAUCGGAAACCAUCUGGCUAGAGUCCGGAAGAGGAGAGUGGAAUUCCUGGUGUAGCGGUGAAAUGCGCGGAUAUCAGGAAGAACACCAAUGGCGAAAGCAGCUCUCUGGGACGGUACUGACGCUGAGACGCGAAAGCGUGGGGAGCGAACAGG